rnacentral:rRNA from 1 species
CAGUCGCCACGGGAAUACGUAGGUGGCAAGCGUUGUCCGGAAUUAUUGGGCGUAAAGCGCGCGCAGGCGGAUAGGUCAGUCUGUCUUAAAAGUUCGGGGCUUAACCCCGUGAUGAGAUGGAAACUGCCAAUCUAGAGUAUCGGAGAGGAAAGUGGAAUUCCUAGUGUAGCGGUGAAAUGCGUAGAUAUUAGGAAGAACACCAGUGGCGAAGGCGACUUUCUGGACGAAAACUGACGCUGAGGCGCGAAAGCCAGGGGAGCGAACGGGAUUAGAUACCCCAGUAGUCUCUGUCUCUUAUACA